GGCCUUGUGCUUACUGCAGGCUUUGUUCUUACACUGUAUAGAAAGAAGAGACAAAAUAAACCUACCCUAUAUACUCCUCAGGCUAGGCCUGGUCUCUAUUGUGAAUGGGGGGACAUGG